CAGUAGACGUGGGUUCAAUACCUGGGACGGAAAGAUCCCCUGGAGAUGGAAACAGAAACCCACUCCAGUAUUCUUGCUUGGAAAAUCCUGUGGACAGAGGAGCCUGACGGGCUGCAGUCCAUGGGGUCGCAAAGAGUCAGACACAACUUGGCAACUAAAUCACCACGACCUUCAGGGGUCUGAAUCAGAGCCGUCCAAUCCACACCGACCUCAAGCAGCUCUGAGUCUGUAGAGCUGUCAUUGUAUAUGCAACAAGUUCAGUCACGGUGCUGGGUGUCUUCUCCUGGGUUGGGAACUGGUUCUACUGGUUAUUGGCCAUGUGGGUCUCUGUGGAGAGUAUGCUUGAGGGCAGAGUCUACACGGCGAACUCCUUGGGGACAGAAGCCAGGCCUCUACCUCUGGGAACCUCCCUCACCCCUUGGCAUCUUGAUGGGUCAACUGAUGCAUGGCUCGUGCCAAUAAAUCCCAGACCUGGAGAACCACCUGGAGAGUUUGGAAAAUUCACAGGGUCAACUUCUCCUUAUAUUUCCUGAAUCUCCAUCUUGUAGGUGGUGUGUUUUUUUGAUCUUUCUGUUUUUGUUUCCUCUAGUUUUAUUGAGAUAUAAUAAACAUACAGGUUUCCCUGGUAGCUCA
rnacentral:lncRNA from 1 species